rnacentral:rRNA from 1 species
AAGAUUUUCAAGGUCGAACAGACCUAGUUAUUGAACAUCUGCAUCCAAAACUAAUCUUAAUCCAACAUCGAGGUCACAAUCUCCUUUUUCGAUAUGAACUCUCAAAAAGAAUUAUG